rnacentral:rRNA from 1 species
ACUCCUACGGGAGGCAGCAGUGGGGAAUAUUGCACAAUGGGGGAAAGACCCUGAUGCAGCGACGCAGCGUGCGGGAUGACGGCCUUCGGGUUGUAAACCGCUUUCAGCAGGGAAGAAGCGCAAGUGACGGUACCUGCAGAAGAAGUACCGGCUAACUACGUGCCAGCAGCCGCGGUAAUACGUAGGGUACGAGCGUUGUCCGGAAUUAUUGGGCGUAAAGAGCUCGUAGGUGGUUGGUCACGUCUGCUGUGGAAACGCAACGCUUAACGUUGCGCGUGCAGUGGGUACGGGCUGACUAGAGUGCAGUAGGGGAGUCUGGAAUUCCUGGUGUAGCGGUGAAAUGCGCAGAUAUCAGGAGGAACACCGGUGGCGAAGGCGGGACUCUGGGCUGUAACUGACACUGAGGAGCGAAAGCAUGGGGAGCGAACAGGAUUAGAUACCCUGGUAGGCGUAG